rnacentral:rRNA from 1 species
UACGUAGGGACCAAGCGUUGUUCGGAUUUACUGGGCGUAAAGGGCGCGUAGGCGGCGAAUCAAGUCAGCUGUGAAAUCUCCGAGCUUAACUCGGAACGGUCAGCUGAUACUGUUUUGCUAGAGUGCAGAUAGGGCAACCGGAAUUCUUGGUGUAGCGGUGAAAUGCGUAGAUAUCAAGAGGAACACCAAUGGCGAAGGCAGCACUCUGGGACGUGACUGACGCUGAGACGCGAAAGCGUGGGGAGCAAACAGG